rnacentral:rRNA from 1 species
UACGUAGGGUGCGAGCGUUGUCCGGAAUUAUUGGGCGUAAAGAGCUCGUAGGCGGUGUGUCACGUCGUUCGUGAAAACCUGCAGCUUAACUGUGGGCGUGCGGUCGAUACGGGCAUCACUGGAGUUCGGCAGGGGAGACUGGAAUUCCUGGUGUAGCGGUGAAAUGCGCAGAUAUCAGGAGGAACACCGGUGGCGAAGGCGGGUCUCUGGGACGGUACUGACGCUGAGACGCGAAAGCGUGGGGAGCGAACAGG